ACCCUUCAUAAGAAUAUUUUGGUCGCUAACGGAGUAGUUUUGGUUUUGUGAUGUUUUGUGCGAAGAAGAAUUCCUGUAUGAAGGAAGGCACUGGUUUCCAACAAAGAAACAGAUCCCCAUCGCUGGAAUUUGGUUAACAACAACGAUUUUUGGAUCGUCCCCAAGGUUACUUUAGUGUCUUUUGCUGUCGUGAAUCAUGAGACACAGAUAAUGUAUUUCUGUAAGAGAUAUUUGACAGUGGAUUUAAGGUCGAAAUAAACCGAAACACAGUGGGAUGAAAGACAAAAUUUACCCCCCGCCGGGCAGCUUCAACUCAAAAAGGCGGUGAGCUGGACAAAGUGCUUAGUGGUAUUUCGCCCGUUGCUACGUUCGGGGUUCAAAUUCUACCGAUGUCGAUUUUGCCUUUCAUCCUUUCGGAGUCAAUAAAUUAAAUACCAAUGAAACACUGGGGACGAUGUAAUCGACUGGUCGCCUCCCAUCAAAUUUCGUCUGUCUCUACAUUCUGAGUUCACAUUCCGCCGAGGACAUCUUUGCCUUUCAUCCUUGCGGGGUUGACAAGUACCAUUUGAGUACUGGGUGUCGACCUUUCCCACAAAAUUCCAGGCUUUGGGACUCUACGAGACGGAAUUAUCAUUAUUAUUCUUCACUGACCGCGUAUUUCAACGAUAAUUUCUUUAAACCUCAAUUCCAUAAAAUCCGGCAUAUGCAAUUAUAAAGUUAGACAACCAAAUACCCUUGGAACACCCAAUGCUGAGCUCCAAAUAAUUGGAAUGGUGAAACGUACCCAGACUUUGUGGACAGCCUGUAUAAUUUCACAACUGUGAUACCCAUGUCAGUGGCAUGUAAAAAGCACCAUCUGAACAUGGCCGAUUCCAGUGCUGCCUAUAAAACCAACUGAUGGCCAUUGCUAGCCUCCUCUGGCCCCUGUGCCGGUGGCACGUAAAAAGCACCCACUACACUCACAGAAUGGUUGGCGUUAAGAAGGGAAACACUGCCAGAUCAGACUGGAGCCUGGUGCAGCCUCCUGGCUUCACAGACCCUGGUUGCAUGCUAGCAUGGAAAAACGGACGUUAAACGAUCAAUAAGAUGUCCCUGAAUGACCUGCUGGACACCAUGGAGUGUGUCUAUCUAGACAUGAUCAGUAUUGAUAGGUGGUCAUGACUGAAGAAGCAGCAUUAAAAACACCUUUCACUAGAAGGACUCAAUACUGACGUGACCACCCAGUACUAUCACUGGUCAGGCCUUCCGCAAGUAUGCCAUGCAAAUAACUUAAGGAAAGAAAUAUUCUUAAAAAUA